AUUUUUGGUGAAUUUUGGGUGUCCCAGGUGAUUUCAGACCCCCCCAGGUGUAAUUUUGGGUGUCCCAGGUGAGUUUUUGGCCCCCCCAGGUGUAUUUCAGACCCCCCCCGGGUGUAUUUCAGACCCCCCAGGUGUAUUUUGGGUGUCCCAGGUGAAUUUUUGGGUGUCCCAGGUGUAAUUUUGGGUGUCCCAGGUGAAUUUUUGGGUGUCCCAGGUGUAUUUGGGGUGUCCCAGGUGUAUUUCAGACCCCCCAGGUGUAUUUCAGACCCCCCAGGUGUGAUUUCAGCCCCCCCAGGUGAGUUUUUGGACCCCCCAGGUGUAAUUUUGGGUGUCCCAGGUGUAUUUCAGACCCCCCAGGUGUAUUUCAGACCCCCCAGGUGUGAUUUCGGCCCCCCCAGGUGAGUUUUUGGACCCCCCCAGGUGUAAUUUUGGGUGUCCCAGGUGUAUUUCAGACCCCCCAGGUGUAUUUCAGGCCCCCCCAGGUGUGAUUUCGGCCCCCCCUGGUGAGUUUUUGGACCCCCCAGGUGUAUUUGGGGUGUCCCAGGUGUGAUUUUGGCCCCCCCAGGUGAGUUUUUGGGUGUCCCAGGUGUAUUUGGGGUGUCCCAGGUGUGAUUUUGGCCCCCCCAGGUGAGUUUUUGGACCCCCCAGGUGUAUUUGGGGUGUCC